UCCAUAAAGAGGUGACACAGAUUACGUUC
rnacentral:piRNA from 1 species